GUCUGACGGAGCAACGCCGCGUGAGUGAUGAAGGUUUUCGGAUCGUAAAGCUCUGUUGUUAGGGAAGAACAAGUGCGAGAGUAACUGCUCGCACCUUGACGGUACCUAACCAGAAAGCCAAGGCUAACUACGUCCCAGCAGGCGCCGUAAUACGUAGGUGGCAAGCGUUGUCCGGAAUUAUUGGGCGUAAAGGGCUCGCAGGCGGUUUCUUAAGUCUGAUGUGAAAGCCCCCGGCUCAACCGGGGAGGGUCAUUGGAAACUGGGAAACUUGAGUGCAGAAGAGGAGAGUGGAAUUCCACGUGUAGCGGUGAAAUGCGUAGAGAUGUGGAGGAACACCAGUGGCGAAGGCGACUCUCUGGUCUGUAACUGACGCUGAGGAGCGAAAGCGUGGGGAGCGAACAGGAUUAGAUACCCUGGUAGUCCACGCCGUAAACGAUGAGUGCUAAGUGUUAGGGGGUUUCCGCCCCUUAGUGCUGCAGCU
rnacentral:rRNA from 1 species